rnacentral:misc_RNA from 1 species
AAGUCGUAACAAGGUUUCCGUAGGUGAACCUGCGGAAGGAUCAUUAACACGUAUCCAACGUUAAACCCCCCCGUGAACCUUCAUUCGUGCUCUGGUAGCCCAUGCGGGACAGCAAUUCCUGGUAAAUCAUUGUCGGAAAUAGAUUUUGAGUCAGGAACCUCUGCCCAAUGAGACGUACAGUUACCAUAGAAGCGCUAGUUCUAUCGGCAUUGUUUCCCUAAGCAGUCAGUGGCGUGAAAGUGGUCAACUGAUUGUGGAAGGAUAACGCUUAACGAUUUCGCAGCCGCUUCACGCGGGCGGAGCUUUGCCAAAGGGUCCCCAUGCCCCCUACACGUGCCGAUUUCUAUUAAAAGCUCCAUUUUCAAUUAUGGAUGGGGUAAAACCGAACAACUGUUAACAAUGGAUAUCUUGGUUCUC